AAAUGCGGGAAAUCGGUGAUCCUAUGCUGCCAAGAAAAGCCUCGACGCGAGGUUCUAGCCGCCCGUACCCCAAACCGACUCAGGUGGUCAGGUAGAGAAUACCAAGGCGAUCGAGAGAAUCGUGGUUAAGGAACUCGGCAAAAUGCCCCCGUAACUUCGGGAGAAGGGGGGCCUGAAGCGUGAACCGACUUGCUCGGGGAGCGUGAAGGGCCGCAGAGACCAGGGAGAAGCGACUGUUUACUAAAAACACAGGUCCGUGCGAAGUCGCAAGACGAUGUAUACGGACUGACGCCUGCCCGGUGCUGGAAGGUUAAGAGGACGGGUCAGCCGCAAGGCGAAGCUCAGAAUUUAAGCCCCAGUAAACGGCGGUGGUAACUAUAACCAUCCUAAGGUAGCGAAAUUCCUUGUCGGGUAAGUUCCGACCUGCACGAAUGGCGUAACGACUUCUCCGCUGUCUCAACCGCGAACUCGGCGAAAUUGCACUACGAGUAAAGAUGCUCGUUACGCGCAGCAGGACGGAAAGACCCCGGGACCUUUACUAUAGUUUGGUAUUGGUGUUCGGUGCGGCUUGUGUAGGAUAGGUGGGAGACUGUGAAGCCGGCACGCCAGUGUCGGUGGAGUCAACGUUGAAAUACCACUCUGGUCGCUCUGGAUAUCUAACCUCGGUCCGUGAUCCGGACUAGGGACAGUGCCUGAUGGGUAGUUUAACUGGGGCGGUUGCCUCCUAAAAUGUAACGGAGGCGCUCAAAGGUUCCCUCAGCCUGGUUGGCAAUCAGGUGGCGAGUGCAAGUGCACAAGGGAGCUUGACUGUGAGACUGACAGGUCGAGCAGGGACGAAAGUCGGAACUAGUGAUCCGGCGGUGGCUUGUGGAAGCGCCGUCGCUCAACGGAUAAAGGUACCCCGGGGAUAACAGGCUGAUCUUGCCCAAGAGUCCAUAUCGACGGCAUGGUUUGGCACCUCGAUGUCGGCUCGUCGCAUCCUGGGGCUGGAGUAGGUCCCAAGGGUUGGGCUGUUCGCCCAUUAAAGCGGUACGCGAGCUGGGUUUAGAACGUCGUGAGACAGUUCGGUCCCUAUCCGCUGCGCGCGCAGGAAACUUGAGAAGGGCUGUCCCUAGUACGAGAGGACCGGGACGGACGAACCUCUGGUGUGCCAGUUGUUCCGCCAGGAGCACGGCUGGUUGGCUACGUUCGGAAGGGAUAACCGCUGAAAGCAUCUAAGCGGGAAGCCUGCUUCAAGAUGAGGUUUCCAUGGGGACUUGAUCCCCGAGAGGCUCCCAGCUAGACCACUGGGUAGAUAGGCCGGAUGUGGAAGAGGGGACGAAAGACCCUCGCAGCUGACCGGUACUAAUAAGCCGACAACUUC
rnacentral:rRNA from 1 species